AGGGGCAGAGCUGUUGCUGUGUUGCUGUGAUGCUGGCUGGGGUAUAGGUAGGUGGAGAGAAUUGUUGGGAAUCUCUUCUAUAUUCCUAGGCUGCACUUGAAGGGGAUGAUUUACCUAUCCCAUAAUUGCAGGAUCUUCUGGUGCAGGCUCCAGUAUUCCCAUGUGGCCAUUCUGGGCUUGGUUUACUGCUUGCUGGUCCCCCAUAUUUUGCUGUUGCAGUGCUGGGAGGAAGUGUGGGAGAUGUCCCUAGUCCACUUCCAUAUUUGCCCCAUCAUUGUUCUGAGCUAGUUGUAGUCCUGGAACCUGAUUAUCCUAGCCCAGGAGCUCAUCCUCAUUAUGAUUGUCUUGUUCUAAUCCUAGUGGAUGAUUGCGAUCCUGCAGACCCUCUU
rnacentral:lncRNA from 1 species